rnacentral:rRNA from 1 species
UACGUAGGGUGCAGGCGUUAAUCGGAAUUACUGGGCGUAAAGCGUGCGCAGGCGGUUUGUUAAGACAGAUGUGAAAUCCCCGGGCUUAACCUGGGAACUGCGUUUGUAACUGGCAGACUGGAGUGUGGCAGAGGGGGGUGGAAUUCCAAGUGUAGCAGUGAAAUGCGUAGAUAUUUGGAGGAACACCGAUGGCGAAGGCAGCCCCCUGGGCUAACACUGACGCUCAUGCACGAAAGCGUGGGGAGCAAACAGGAUUAGAAACCCCCGUAGUCC